AAGAAAUCUUGUUCAAUCUUGUUUAUUUAAUUCUUCAAGAGGAGGGGAUUUGAACGUGGGAACAGCAUACCGGCCCCGUCGACCAUGUACUAGAGUCAUGUAUUUAACUCUUAUCCACUGAGGGGCUACGGUCGUGGGUAAAGGUAUCUAAUAUACAUUGAGGGGGCUACAGUCAUGUGUAAAGGUAACUCUUAUCCACUGAGGGGCUACGACCGUGGGUAAAGGUAUCCAUUAUACACUGAGGGGUUACAGCCGUGUAUAAGGAUGAUUAUGUUGUUUCCAUCUUGUACACUGAGGGGCUACGGCUGCGUACAGAAUAUUGAUCAGACAGUUUAUGUACAUAUGAUUUAUAGUUUUCAGAUCAUUAGUAGAUGUAUACUUGGGAUAUAUUUUGAUGUGAAUUUUAAGUAUAUAGUGGAUUAUUAGUCUUCAUCUUACA